ACGGGAGGCAGCAGUAGGGAAUAUUGCACAAUGGGGGAAACCCUGAUGCAGCGACGCCGCGUGAGUGAUGAAGUAUUUCGGUACGUAAAGCUCUAUCAGCAGGGAAGAUAAUGACGGUACCUGACUAAGAAGCCCCGGCUAACUACGUGCCAGCAGCCGCGGUAAUACGUAGGGGGCAAGCGUUAUCCGGAUUUACUGGGUGUAAAGGGAGUGUAGGUGGUUUUGCAAGUCAGAUGUGAAAGCCCGCGGCUCAACUGCGGGACUGCAUUUGAAACUGUGGAACUUGAGUGCAGGAGAGGAAAGUGGAAUUCCUAGUGUAGCGGUGAAAUGCGUAGAUAUUAGGAGGAACACCAGUGGCGAAGGCGGCUUUCUGGACUGAUACUGACACUGAGGCUCGAAAGCGUGGGGAGCAAACAGGAUUAGAUACCCUGGUA
rnacentral:rRNA from 1 species